GGGCGAGUAGCUUAGCGGAAGCACAUGCUAUGACAUCAAAUUGCCUGUAGGGAGGUUCAAAUCCUCCCUCGUCCA